GCUAAUUAGCUCGCCGUAACAUCUGGAUUAAUUUCCCAUUAUAAAUAACCCAAAAAACCUUAAAAACAAAUAACAAAACAUUUUUCCUCCUUAGUAUAGGCGAUAGAAAAGGAAAUAUCGAGCAAUAGAAAAAGUACCGCAAGGGAAAGCUGAAAAAGAAGUGAAAUAACUUAUUUAAGCCUAAAAAAGCAAAGAUUAAUUCUUGUACCUUUUGCAUCAUGAUUUAGCCAGUAAAUUCGAGCAAAGAGCACUUUAGUCCGAACCCCCGAAACUAGACGAGCUACUCCGGGACAGCCUAUUAAAGGGCCAACCCUUCUCUGUGGCAAAAGAGUGGGAAGAGCCCCGAGUAGAGGUGAUAAGCCUAUCGAGUUUAGUUAUAGCUGGUUGCUUAGGAAAUGAAUAGAAGUUCAGCUCUUUAGUUCUCUUUAUACCCCCAUGUAAAACUAAUUUCGUUUACAAGAGACCAAAGAAGUUAGUCAAAGGAGGUACAGCUCCUUUGAAUAAGGAUACAACCUUAACAGGUGCUUAAGGAUCAUAAUUAAUAAGGUACCUGUUAUAGUGGGCCUAAGAGCAGCCACCUAUGAAGAAAGCGUUAAAGCUUAGACAGAAAAUAGCCUCUUAUCCUGAUAAAUAAUCCUAAUCCCUAAUAUUACUAAGCCCUUCCAUUACAAUGGAAAAGAUUCUGCUAAAAUGAGUAAUAAGAGGAAAAAAUCCUCUCCUAACACCCGUGUAUCUCGGAUCGGACCCCCCACCGAAUUUUAACGAACACAAACCAAGAGUGCAAUGUAAACCCUAACAAGAAAACCUUACACAAAUAAUCGUUAACUCCACACUGAAGUGUUUUCAAGGAAAGACCCAAAGAAAGAGAAGGAACUCGGCAAACACAAGCCUCGCCUGUUUACCAAAAACACCGCCUCUUGUACACCAAACAUAAGAGGUCCCGCCUGCCCUGUGACUAUAAGUUUAACGGCCGCGGUAUUUUAACCGUGCGAAGGUAGCGCAAUCACUUGUCUUUUAAAUGAAGACCUGUAUGAAUGGCAUCACGAGGGCUUAGCUGUCUCCUCUUUCAAGUCAAUGAAAUUGAUCUACCCGUGCAGAAGCGGGUAUAAAACCAUAAGACGAGAAGACCCUAUGGAGCUUUAGACACCCGGCAGACCCUGUUAAGCAGCUCUAAAUUAUUAAACUGAAACAAAACGGUUCCUGGCCUUAUGUCUUCGGUUGGGGCGACCACGGGGGAAAACAAAGCCCCCACAAGGACUAAGGAUAAAAUCCUUAUAACCACGAGCUACAGCUCUAAGAAUCAGAACUUCUGACCAAAAAGAUCCGGCAAUCGCCGAUCAAUGGACCAAGUUACCCUAGGGAUAACAGCGCAAUCCUCUCCCAGAGUCCCUAUCGACGAGGGGGUUUACGACCUCGAUGUUGGAUCAGGACAUCCUAAUGGUGCAGCCGCUAUUAAGGGUUCGUUUGUUCAACGAUUAAAGUCCUACGUGAUCUGAGUUCAGACCGGAGUAAUCCAGGUCAGUUUCUAUCUAUGAAGUGUUUUUCUCUAGUACGAAAGGACCGAGAAAAAAGGGUCCAUACCAAAGGUACACCCUCCCUCCAACUGAUGAAAACAACUAAAACAGUUAAGGAGGCACAUAACAAGUGCCGAAAAGAACCGCGC
rnacentral:rRNA from 1 species